rnacentral:rRNA from 1 species
AGAGCGAACGCUGGCGGCAGGCUUAACACAUGCAAGUCGAGCGGGCGUAGCAAUACGUCAGCGGCAGACGGGUGAGUAACGCGUGGGAACAUACCUUUUGGUUCGGAACAACACAGGGAAACUUGUGCUAAUACCGGAUAAGCCCUUACGGGGAAAGAUUUAUCGCCGAAAGAUUGGCCCGCGUCUGAUUAGCUAGUUGGUGAGGUAACGGCUCACCAAGGCGACGAUCAGUAGCUGGUCUGAGAGGAUGAUCAGCCACAUUGGGACUGAGACACGGCCCAAACUCCUACAGGAGGCAGCAGUGGGGAAUAUUGGACAAUGGGCGCAAGCCUGAUCCAGCCAUGCCGCGUGAGUGAUGAAGGCCCUAGGGUUGUAAAGCUCUUUUGUGCGGGAAGAUAAUGACGGUACCGCAAGAAUAAGCCCCGGCUAACUUCGCGCCAGCAGCCGC